rnacentral:rRNA from 1 species
AGGAUACAUCAAAACUCCUGUUUUAACGGUGUUGUCUGAGCUACAAGCAACGAAUCAAAACUUUCAACAACGGAUCUCUUGGUUCUGGCAUCGAUGAAGAACGCAGCGAAAUGCGAUAAGUAGUGUGAAUUGCAGAAUUCAGUGAAUCAUCGAAUCUUUGAACGCACAUUGCGCCCCUUGGUAUCCCGAGGGGCAUGCCUGUUCGAGCGUCAUUUCACCACUCAAGCCUGGCUUGGUGUUGGGCGACGUCCCCUUUGGGGACGCGCCUCGAAACGCUCGGCGGCGUGGCACCGGCUUUAUGUGUAGCAGAAUCUUUCGCUUCAAAAGUCGGGGCCCCGUCUGCCGGAAGACCUACUCGCAAGGUUGACCUCGGAUCAGGCAGGGAUACCCGCUGAACUUAAGCAUAUCAAUA